CCUCUUUUUGUUUGUUUGUACUUUUAUUUCUUUUGUUUUUUUCUCUGUUUUACUUAAAUACAUUUUCCCCCCAGAUAUCACUUUCGUUGUGUGGAUUAACGUCUUUAGGUGCAAUGUUUUGUAAACUUCUAUGUGGAGUACCAUUAUAACUUUUUGCAAAAUUUUGUAAGUUGUUAAUAUAUUUAUGUGUUCUAUUCUUUGUGAAAAAGCGAAACAUUUUGUUUUUAAUAGUUUGUAGACCCUUUUCAG
rnacentral:lncRNA from 1 species